UCAUCAUGCCCCUUAUGUCUUGGGCUUCACGCAUGCUACAAUGGCAGGUACAGAGGGUUGCGAUGCUGUGAGGUGGAGCGAAUCCUUUAAAGCUUGUCUCAGUUCGGAUCGGGGUCUGCAAUUCGACCUCGUGAAGGUGGAGUCGCUAGUAAUCGCAGAUCAGCUACGCUGCGGUGAAUACGUUCUCGGGCCUUGUACGCACCGCCCGUCACGUCACGAAAGUUGGUAACACCCGAAGCUUGUGGCUUAACCUUUUUGGGGGGAGCAGGUGACGGUGGGAUUGGCGAUUGGGACGAAGUCGUAACAAGGUAGGCGUACCGGAA
rnacentral:rRNA from 1 species